rnacentral:rRNA from 1 species
AGUGAACGCUGGCGGUAGGCCUAACACAUGCAAGUCGAACGGCAGCACAGGAGAGCUUGCUCUCUGGGUGGCGAGUGGCGGACGGGUGAGGAAUACAUCGGAAUCUACCUUUUCGUGGGGGAUAACGUAGGGAAACUUACGCUAAUACCGCAUACGACCUACGGGUGAAAGUGGGGGACCGCAAGGCCUCACGCGAUUAGAUGAGCCGAUGUCCGAUUAGCUAGUUGGCGGGGUAAUGGCCCACCAAGGCGACGAUCGGUAGCUGGUCUGAGAGGAUGAUCAGCCACACUGGAACUGAGACACGGUCCAGCCUCCUACGGGAGGCAGCGGUGGGGAAUAUUGGACAAUGGGCGCAAGCCUGAUCCAGCCAUACCGCGUGGGUGAAGAAGGCCUUCGGGUUGUAAAGCCCUUUUGUUGGGAAAGAAAUCCUGUCGAUUAAUACUCGGUGGGGAUGACGGUACCCAAAGAAUAAGCACCGGCUAACUUCGUGCCAGCAGCCGCCGUAAGAC